UACAGAGACUGCAAGCGUUAUUCGGAUUCACUGGGCGUAAAGGGUGCGCAGGCGGCCGGGUGUGUCAGAUGUGAAAUCCCGAGGCUCAACCUCGGAACUGCGUCUGAAACUACUCGGCUAGAGUACUGGAGAGGGUAACGGAAUUCACGGUGUAGCAGUGAAAUGCGUAGAUAUCGUGAGGAACACCAGAGGCGAAGGCGGUUACCUGGACAGUUACUGACGCUCCGGCACGAAAGCAUGGGGAGCAAAAGGG
rnacentral:rRNA from 1 species